rnacentral:rRNA from 1 species
CGGCGGACUUUGGCGGGACUGCCGGCGAAUAGCUGGAGGAAGGAGGGGAUGAUGUCAAAUCAUCAUGCCCCUUAUGUUCUGGGCUACACACGUGCUACAAUGGCCGGUACAGACGGACGCAAAGCCGCGAGGUGGAGCAAAUCCUAAAAAGCCGGUCUCAGUUCGGAUUGCAGGCUGCAAUUCGCCUGCAUGAAGUCGGAAUCGCUAGUAAUCGCAGGUCAGCAUACUGCGGUGAAUACGUUCCCGGGCCUU